UGGCCAUGACAGUCAUCAACUUUCAGAAAUACCUAGCCAUCCUUCCCAUAGAACGUCUUUCUCCACUGCUUAUGUGACCUUUCAGUGGGUACUUGGCCACUUGCAGGCUCAGUCUCCCCUGCUCUCACAGGACCUCGUGUGAGGCAAUGGAAGAGUCUGUGAGACACUGGACACGCCAAGCAUCAGCCUGGCAUAGGCCCCAUGCCAUCCCCCAGUAAUAACAGACAGUCAGGACAUUCUCCAUUUCCUACGGAUUCAGCCACAGCUGCCCUCCCCAGAGCUCAGGCUCCACCCACCUUAGGCUGACUCACCAAAACUGUGGCCCAGGAGGUUGAACUGAUUCCACUUAAAGGCUGAAAACACAAAGGCAGAAAGGAGGUUUGCACAGCCCAGCCUUACUCUGUCCUUUAUCCCUGUGGCCUGGGGCUUGGGACUCUCUCCAAAGACCUGCAGCAGCCCCACCCUGACCCCCACAUGACCCCCGCAGGAGAUCCACCAGGACCCACUAGCUUCACUGUGAGACGCUCCUAGUGGAAGAGCGGGCUCUUUUCAGGGGCCUGGAAACUGGAAGCAGAAACCC
rnacentral:lncRNA from 1 species